AGUGAACGCUGGCGGUAGGCCUAACACAUGCAAGUCGAACGGCAGCACAGUAAGAGCUUGCUCUUACGGGUGGCGAGUGGCGGACGGGUGAGGAAUACAUCGGAAUCUACUUUUUCGUGGGGGAUAACGUAGGGAAACUUACGCUAAUACCGCAUACGACCUACGGGUGAAAGCAGGGGAUCUUCGGACCUUGCGCGAUUGAAUGAGCCGAUGUCGGAUUAGCUAGUUGGCGGGGUAAAGGCCCACCAAGGCGACGAUCCGUAGCUGGUCUGAGAGGAUGAUCAGCCACACUGGAACUGAGACGCGGUCCAGACUCCUACGGGAGGCAGCAGUGGGGAAUAUUGGACAAUGGGCGCAAGCCUGAUCCAGCCAUACCGCGUGGGUGAAGAAGGCCUUCGGGUUGUAAAGCCCUUUUGUCGGGAAAGAAAAGCAGCAGGUUAAUACCCCGCUGUUCCGACGGUACCCAAAGAAUAAGCACCGGCUAACUUCGUG
rnacentral:rRNA from 1 species